rnacentral:misc_RNA from 1 species
UCCGGCUUAUCACCGGCAGUCGCCUUAGAGUGCCCAACUAAAUGAUGGCGACUAAGGCCGAGGGUUGCGCUCGUUGCGGGACUUAACCCAACAUCUCACGACACGAGCUGACGACAGCCAUGCAGCACCUGUGUUAGCGUUCCCUUUCGGGCACCCUCGCAUCUCUGCGAGGUUCGCUACAAGUCAAGGGUAGGUAAGGUUUUUCGCGUUGCAUCGAAUUAAUCCACAUAAUCCACCGCUUGUGCGGGUCCCCGUCGAUUCCUUUGAGUUUUAAUCUUGCGACCGUACUCCCCAGGCGGGAUGCUUAAUGCGUUAGCUGCGCCACUGAAGGGUAAACCCACCAACGGCUAGCAUCCAUCGUUUACGGCGUGGACUAC